AGUGAACGCUGGCGGCAUGCCUAACACAUGCAAGUCGAACGACAGCACGGGAAGCUUGCUCUUCUGCCGUUGGCGGCGGGCGGGCGAGUAACAUGUGCAUAAGCUACCUAUUUGUCGUGGGGAAUUUCGGAGAACCACUGCUACUACCGCCUAAUAUAUUGUACCGCAGGGUUCAAUAGUGAAUGAGGGCUUUGCUGUCACUUAUAGAUGGAUUCGCGUCGCAUUAGCUAGGUGGUAAGGUAACGGCUUACCAAGGCAACGAUGCGUAGCCGAUCUGAGAGGAUGAUCAGCCACACUGGAACUGAGACACGGUCCAGACUCCUACGGGAGGCAGCAGUGGGGAAUAUUCGGCAAUGGGCGCAAGCCUGAUGGAGCCACACCGCGUGAGUGAAGAAGGUCUUCGGGUUGUAAAACCCUUUUAUUAGGGAAGAAAAACUGUGUAAUUAACCCUGCACGUCUUGACGGUACCCAAUCAAAAAGCCACGGCUAACUUCGUG
rnacentral:rRNA from 1 species